rnacentral:misc_RNA from 1 species
UGCUCACGCACCCAACUACAGACCAACUAUCCUUCUCAGUUACAUCACGAGUAUAUUAAUGCUCGUUGACUGGUUCUGGGGCUUGUGUUGCGUACCUAAAUAGAAGGAAUUGUUGCUGUUUAGUUCAAAUGUUGUUCGCGGCGGCUCUUUAAACGGGGAAGUCGUGAACACAUAAGCCGACACUUGUGAUCCUUGCGUCUCGGCAUUAAAACUGCCUUGCUCGAUAAGGUGAAUAAGUUGCCGGUUGAGCUCCUGGAUGCGGAAAGAUAAUGGACGGUGACUCGAAGCAAUUCUGUCCCGCCAAAGCACGUUUGUCCUCGGACAAAAGAUGACGGUCAAGACCUCGGCUUGCUCUCUAUUACGUGGCGUAUGCGGGAAGUAGCUUGGCUGCUCUCUAUUAC